ACGGGCCGCACAAGCGGUGGAGUAUGUGGUUAAUUCGACGCAACGCGCAGAACUUACCUGGUCUUGACAUCCCGGGAAUCUUGUGGAAACACGAGAGUGCCUCGCAAGAGGAGCCUGGAGACAGGUGCUGCAUGGCUGUCGUCAGCUCGUGUCGUGAGAUGUUGGGUUAAGUCCCGCAACCGAGCGCAACCCCUAUCUUUAGUUGCCAUCAUUGAGUUGGGCACUCUAAAGAGACUGCCGGUGUCAAACCGGAGGAAGGUGGGGGAUGACGUCAAGUCCUCAUGGCCUUUAUGACCAGGGCUACACACGUACUACAAUGGCCGGUACAAAGGGCAGCGACACAGCGAUGUGAAGCGAAUCCCGAAAAGCCGGUCUCAGUCCGGAUUGGAGUCUGCAACUCGACUCCAUGAAGUUGGAAUCGCUAGUAAUCGCGGAUCAGCACGCCGCGGUGAAUACGUUCCCGGGCCUU
rnacentral:rRNA from 1 species